rnacentral:rRNA from 1 species
AUUGAACGCUGGCGGCAUGCCUUACACAUGCAAGUCGAACGGUAACGCGGGGGCAACCCUGGCGACGAGUGGCGAACGGGUGAGUAAUACAUCGGAACAUAUCCAGUAGCGGGGGAUAACCUAUCGAAAGAUUGGCUAAUACCGCAUACGAUCUACGGAUGAAAGCAGGGGACCGCAAGGCCUUGCACUAUUGGAGUGGCCGAUGUCAGAUUAGCUAGUUGGUGGGGUAAAAGCCUACCAAGGCGACGAUCUGUAGCGGGUCUGAGAGGAUGAUCCGCCACACUGGGACUGAGACACGGCCCAGACUCCUACGGGAGCAGCAGUGGGGAAUUUUGGACAAUGGACGCAAGUCUGAUCCAGCCAUGCCGCGUG